GACGAACGCUGGCGGCGUGCUUAACACAUGCAAGUCGAACGGAAAGGCCCCCUUGUGGGGUACUCGAGUGGCGAACGGGUGAGUAACACGUGAGUAACCUACCCUUGACUUUGGGACAACUUCAGGAAACUGGGGCUAAUACCGGAUAGGAGCUCCUGCUGCAUGGUGGGGGUUGGAAAGUUUCGGCGGUUGGGGAUGGACUCGCGGCUUAUCAGCUUGUUGGUGGGGUAGUGGCUCACCAAGGCUUUGACGGGUAGCCGGCCUGAGAGGGUGACCGGCCACAUUGGGACUGAGAUACGGCCCAGACUCCUACGGGAGGCAGCAGUGGGGAAUAUUGCACAAUGGGCGGAAGCCUGAUGCAGCAACGCCGCGUGCGGGAUGACGGCCUUCGGGUUGUAAACCGCUUUCGCCUGUGACGAAGCGUGAGUGACGGUAAUGGGUAAAGAAGCACCGGCUAACUACGUG
rnacentral:rRNA from 1 species